CAGGGAUUAGAAUGAUGGUCGAUGUUUGUAAGUUUAAUAUUUAGGUGGCUGAGGCAGGAGGAUUACUAUGAGUUCUUAGCUCUUAGUUCUAGCCUUAACUAUAUAACAAGACCUUACCUCAAAGCUAAUGUAAUUUUUUUUAAUUUAAAAAUUUAAAAAGUAAACAAAUACAAUGGUGGGAUUAGCAGAGGUGCCUGAAUAAAAGAUGCUAUGGUGAACUCCUAUGGAACUCUGAGGUCUUUGUUUUAAAAGUGGCCUCCUGUGUCCAAUAAAGAAAUGGGCCUAGAGCUUGGGUAUGUGGACCAGGGAUGUUCACAGUUCAUGCUGAUAUAGACUGCCAUUCUUUUCAAUGAGAAAUUGUUAAGAUAUGAGAUAUAUAACUGGGUCAAUAUAGAACGAGUUCGGUGCAGGGCAUCAUGAAGCAUAGAGUAGACUGUCAUUGCCAAUUCAUAGAACAUUGAGUCCCUUCUGAGGCUGUGUGUGUUUAGUUAGUAGUAGGAUCACAAGUUCAGGGCCAACCUGAGCUACAUAAUCAAUACUUGGUCUCUGCCCCUCCUUUCACUUAAAGGAAAACAAUACAUCCAGAAUGUUUUGUCUUUAUAUUCAGGUUUCAUUUUCUUUUCUAUUUUUAUGAUUUACUUCUCUUUUUUUGGAUAAAUGUGUGCUAAUUAUACAUUCUGGAGGAAUAUACUGUAAAUUCAUUCAUUUCUUUCAAAACUAGUCAAUUGGAAAAGGGAUUCUUGUGCCUCUAAUGAGACCCUUAGACAGGCAGGCACACUCUUGAUCAGUCCUGUUUCCAAGUGAUGAAUUGAACUUGAUUCAUUUUAUCUUUUCAAAGUCACAGUUAGACAAAUGAAAAGGUGGCCUAUUGUUGGGUCAGUGAAAAAAAUGGGAAUUGUCGUCAUGAAUAUUUUAGAGUUAAACUAAUGCUGUUUAAAGUGAUCUAAAUAGCUCACUGUUUUAAAACCUGGCAUUUGACACCAUAGAAUGAAGACUAUAGCAGACUGAAUUACUCUCUGAGAUGAGGACUUUGCUAUUGCCAUUGCAGAACCACUGGUGGAAGUUGUUGUUAAACAGUGGGUCUUGCAUGCAAGCUCUACAGUUAUGCACAGUAUUUCCAUGACAUCCCAAGCCAUGAGGUUCAUGCUGCCAUAUCCCCCUGUUUAACAAGUGUGGAAACUGAUGUAAGUGGAGUCAAAGUCUUGGUUUGGGUGGCCAUCGUAAAUGUUCCUGCUAAGAUAGGCAUAGGCUCCAGUAAGAUCAACUCAACAUGAUCAUAAAUACCAUGUUGAGGAUUUCCAAAAUUUAGAGAAAUGACAGAGAGUCACAGGGGCACAAACUCUGUUGAUGAACUUCAAUACACCAAGAUCUUGUGCAAGGAUCUGUGAUGAAGAGUUAUGUAAAUAUUCUAAUUGAUCCAUAUAGUUGUUAAUAAAAGGGGAAAGUGUGAGAGAAGUUGAAGGACAGUGUUGAGUCAAUGAUGGCCAGUGAUGAUGUAUGAAUCGGGAUCAUAGCUACAGGUCUGGUCGUCAGAGGUCCACACCCAAACACGUGUAGUGUGGAGCUGUGAUAUAGAUAUUGGAUGUAAAUUAGUGUGUUAAAAUCCUUAGGUUCAUCUGUUUUCAUUCUACCCGGACUUAGAUUAAACUAAAUGAAAGAGGUCAAAGCAUUCUCUAAUUAUUUAAAUAACACCAAGUAGUACUACUAACAGUAUGAAUAUCAAAGUUUAGAAAUUCAUUAGUAAUAAAUGGCCAGAGUUAGAAACCCUUAGCUGAGAAUUUUGUGUGCUGUUUUAAAUGGCGGACAAAAUUCUCGUUUGGUUAAGAACCUGGUCUCCUGUUUAUUUUCUAGAGAAGAAUGUAUCACAGCUUCAUGUAACUCGAGGG
rnacentral:lncRNA from 1 species